rnacentral:rRNA from 1 species
UACGUAGGCAGCGAGCGUUGUUCGGAAUUACUGGGCGUAAAGAGUGUGUAGGCGGUGCUCUAAGUUCGGUGUGAAAUCUCCUGGCUCAACUGGGAGGGUGCGCCGGAAACUGGAGUGCUUGAGCGUGGGAGAGGAAAGCGGAAUUCCUGGUGUAGCGGUGAAAUGCGUAGAUAUCAGGAGGAACACCUGUGGUGUAGACGGCUAUCUGGACGGCGACUGACGCUGAGACACGAAAAGCGUGGGUAGCAAACAGG